GUUCAUCUGUGCCAUUUUUGCAGAAGUGUGCCAAAUGCUUUCUUGAUGUGCCGGGGUCGACCCAAUCAUCCUUUGGGUCGACUCAAUCCACACUUUGCUGCAUCUUAAGGUUAGAUUCAUUCAAAUAAACAAUGAAAUGUAUCUAUAUCAAUUUAUACAAAUAUACUGAGAGUAAUAGACUUAUAAAUGAAGUAUCGAUUUAACUUAUAACAUACUCUAGAUAAUUGCUUGUUAAUCAUCAAAAUAACACUAUCAUCCUCAAUCUCCCCCUUUUUGAUGAUUACAAAAUAAAGAGUAUGAGCCUAUUGAUACUUAUCUUAAAAUCAGUUUUUGAAAGGGCUU
rnacentral:lncRNA from 1 species